UACGUAGGGGGCUAGCGUUGUCCGGAAUCAUUGGGCGUAAAGAGCGUGUAGGCGGCCCGGUAAGUCCGCUGUGAAAGUCGGGGGCUCAACCCUCGGAUGCCGGUGGAUACUGUCGGGCUCGAGUACGGAAGAGGCGAGUGGAAUUCCUGGUGCAGCGGUGAAAUGCGCAGAUAUCAGGAGGAACACCAAUGGCGAAGGCAGCUCGCUGGGACGUUACUGACGCUGAGACGCGAAAGCGUGGGGAGCAAACAGG
rnacentral:rRNA from 1 species